UCCAUCUGCAUUUGGUCUCUUCCGGAACCUUUAUAAGGUGUUCAGGCCCCCGGGGAAUCUUUUAGCCUGAACACCCUGCAGAGGAAGAGACAGAGGACACCAUCAGUUCCAGCUGAGGUGCCACUGGACAAAACACAAACAAUAAAAUACUUCAAUUUG